rnacentral:rRNA from 1 species
CCUGCCUAUAAGACUGGGAUAUCUUCGGGAAACCGGAGCUAAUACCGGAUACGUUCUUUUCUCGCAUGAGAGAAGAUGGAAAGACGGUUUACGCUGUCACUUAUAGAUGGGCCCGCGGCGCAUUAGCUAGUUGGUGAGGUAAUGGCUCACCAAGGCGACGAUGCGUAGCCGACCUGAGAGGGUGAUCGGCCACACUGGGACUGAGACACGGCCCAGACUCCUACGGGAGGCAGCAGUAGGGAAUCUUCCGCAAUGGACGAAAGUCUGACGGAGCAACGCCGCGUGAACGAAGAAGGCCUUCGGGUCGUAAAGUUCUGUUGUUAGGGAAGAACAAGUACCAGAG